GGACCAAUAGCUCAACGGUUAGAGCUCCCCGCUCAUAACGGGUAGGUUCUAGGUUCGAAUCCUAGUUGGUCCACCA
rnacentral:tRNA from 1 species